ensembl:processed_transcript
ACAGCAUUGAGUUAAAGUGACCACAGAAUAAAGUAAGCAAGUGUCAGAGGCAGAGGAGACACAUCAACCAGCAAGUGUGUAACUUAUCAGGAAAAUGACUGACUGAAUGGAUGACUGUCUAGGUUGCAAGCAGGACAUACUUGUUACAGUUAAGUAUUUCAGCUACAACAUACUGUUAAAUCACAAUAACCAUCUUGCCAUUAAUUGUAACUUCACAGUAAAGUAUAGUUAAUUCUACAAGAGAAUAAGGUGAAAUCACAGAAAUGGGCCUUACUAUAUACCUUGAAGUCACAUAUGGCUGUAAUUUCACUGUGAGCGCUGAAUUGGAGAAGCCACUGUGUACCAUGAAUCUUUACAGCUGCUGAGGAGCUCUUGGAGUAAGACAGAGAUCUGAG